rnacentral:rRNA from 1 species
UACGGAGGGUGCGAGCGUUGUCCGGAGUUACUGGGCGUAAAGGGCGCGUAGGCGGUUAUUUAAGUUUGGAUGUGAAAUCCCUGGGCUUAACCUAGGAACUGCAUUGAAUACUGGGUAACUGGAGUACUGUAGAGGGUAGUGGAAUUUCCGGUGUAGCGGUGAAAUGCGUAGAGAUCGGAAGGAACACCAGUGGCGAAGGCGGCUACCUGGACAGAUACUGACGCUGAGGCGCGAGAGCGUGGGGAGCAAACGAGGAUUAUAA